rnacentral:lncRNA from 1 species
GAAAAAGAAACACUUACUUAAAAAUGCAUUCCAUUAUGAGAAAGCAUAAAUGUAAACUGCAGCAGAAACAAGUGUUAUUUAUCUCAGGGAAAAAAAGAUUAUUUUGGGUAGCUGACUACUGAUCACAGUAAGAAUUCCAGGAGGUCCAAACUAAAAGCAAAACACCAGCAUUUAAUAAACUAGAAAUAAAAAUAACCAACAUCUUUGUUUUCAUGAGCCAGAAUAACAGAAAGAAGGUCACCUAAGAACUUGAUAGAUAUUUCAAUCAAAUUGUACCAGAAAUAGGACACAGUAAAGUAAUUGCGCUUCGUUUAGGAGAGAAAUUUGGUAGCAUUUUGAUGGGUAAGAAAUGAGGGCUAUUGAUUGAGCCUGAUAAAAGCAAUCUCGGCUUCUUUUCAUAGCAAACGGUCAAGAGAAGCACCCGGGUCCAAUGCAAGAUAACCUAACAGAGCUAUAGGCACAGAAGCAUGUAGAAGCCUUAUGGAAAAGACUCAUCUUGGAAAAGGAAAUAGAUCUAAACUUAUUUAGAGCCCUAACUCUCUACCACUAUAGGAAGAAAAGAUUCUACAAUCAGAACAGUUCUGGCUGGACCAGAAUGAGGAAUGGUAACAAGACACCAAACAUGACUUGAAGCAUUAGACCAAGGAGCAUUGCCCAAUGAGGGAGUGACGAGAGAGACUGAGAACAUGCAAAAUACUCCAGAAAUUCAGAAGACUCCCCAAGGACACUGAAUAUCAGGAAACCAUGGUGGAUUGGAAGGAGCUGGUCCUCAAUCAUGAAGAUUCAGGAACCCGGGUUUACAAAUGCAAAGCAGAGCCAUCAUUACAGAGGAAGAAAACUCAAAAUGACCAAU